GCCGGGGUGGUGAAAUGGUAGACACGCAGGACUUAAAAUCCUGUGACCGGCUUUGGUCGUGCGGGUUCGAGUCCCGCUCCCGGUA
rnacentral:tRNA from 1 species